rnacentral:tRNA from 1 species
GGUUGUGGCUCAGUGUUAGAGCACUUGCCUAGCAUGUGUGAGGCACUGGGUUUGAUCCCCGGUACCA